UAGUGUCUCGAGAAGCUGUUGUGGCGC
rnacentral:piRNA from 1 species